UAUACGAGGGGGUUUCCGGGCGGUUUAGCCUUGUUGGUGAGGUAAUGGCUCACCAAGGCGACGAUCAGUAUCUGGUUUGAGAGGAUGAUCAGACACACUGGAACUGAGACACGGUCCAGACUCCUACGGGAGGCAGCAGUGGGGAAUUUUCCGCAAUGGGCGAAAGCCUGACGGAGCAAUCUCGCGUGAGGGAUGACGGCCUAUGGGUUGUAAACCUCUUUUUUCAGGGAGGAAUAAAUUGACUGGACCCUAAAAAAUAACCUUCGGCAAAUUCCUGGCCACCACCCCCGGUAAAACGGAGAAUGCAGUUGUAUUCCGAAUCACUGGGCCUUAAACCUCCGGUGGUUGGUUAAAAAUUCACUGGUAAAUUCUAAAAGCUAACUUUCAAAUUCCCAGUCAAACUAAUAAAACAAGGGUUUAGAGGG
rnacentral:rRNA from 1 species